AGCAGCCGCGGUAAUUCCAGCUCCAAUAGCGUAUAUUAAAGUUGUUGCAGUUAAAAAGCUCGUAGUUGAAUUUCGGGAUCAAUAUGUUGGUCGUGCCUUGGUACGUACUAAUUUAUUGGUUUCUUCCUUCUGACGAACCAUGAUGUCAUUUAUUUGGUGUUGUGGGGAAUCAGGACUGUUACUUUGAAAAAAUUAGAGUGUUUAAAGCAGGCUCACGCUUGAAUACAUUAGCAUGGAAUAAUGAAAUAGGACGUUUGAUUCUAUUUUGUUGGCUUCUAGGAUCGACGUAAUGAUUAAUAGGGAUAGUUGGGGGCAUUAGUAUUCAAUUGUCAGAGGUGAAAUUCUUGGAUUUAUUGAAGACUAACUACUGCGAAAGCAUUUGCCAAGGAUGUUUUCAUUAAUCAAGAACGAAAGUUAGGGGAUCGAAGACGAUCAGAUACCGUCGUAGUC
rnacentral:rRNA from 1 species